rnacentral:rRNA from 1 species
UGGGGAAUCUUGCGCAAUGGUCGAAAGACUGACGCAGCGACGCCGCGUGUGGGAGGACGCCUUUCGGGGUGUAAACCACUGUUGCCCGGGACGAACUGGCCGAUUCAUCGGCCGUGACGGUACCGGGUGAGGAAGCACCGGCUAACUCCGUGCCAGCAGCCGCGGUAAUACGGAGGGUGCGAGCGUUGUCCGGAAUCAUUGGGCGUAAAGGGCGCGUAGGUGGCCCGGUCAGUCCGUGGUGAAAGCGCGGGGCUCAACCCUGCGUCGGCCAUGGAUACUGCCGCGGCUCGAGCACUGUAGAGGCAGGCGGAAUUCCGGGUGUAGCGGUGGAAUGCGUAGAGAUCCGGAAGAACACCGGUGGCGAAGGCGGCCUGCUGGGCAGUAUGGCUGACACUGAGGCGCGACAGCGUGGGGAGCAAACAGG